rnacentral:rRNA from 1 species
GACGGACGCUGGCGACGUGCCUUAAUACAUGCAAGUCGAGCGAGCUUGCCUAGGAUGAAUUUGGUUGCUGGCACCAAAUGAAACUAGAUUACAAGCGAGCGGCGGACGGGUGAGUAACACGUGGGUAACCUGCCCAAGAGACUGGGAUAACACCUGGAAACAGAUGCUAAUACCGGAUAACAACACUAGAACGCAUGUCUAGAGUUUAAAAGAUGGUUCUGCUAUCACUCUUGGAUGGACCUGCGGUGCAUUAGCUAGUUGGUAAGGUAACGGCUUACCAAGGCAAUGAUGCAUAGCCGAGUUGAGAGACUGAUCGGCCACAUUGGGACUGAGACACGGCCCAAACUCCUACGGGAGGCAGCAGUAGGGAAUCUUCCACAAUGGACGCAAGUCUGAUGGAGCAACGCCGCGUGAGUGAAGAAGGGUUUCGGCUCGUAAAGCUCUGUUGGUAGUGAAGAAAGAUAGAGGUAGUAACUGGCCUUUAUUUGACGGUAAUUACUUAGAAAGUCACGGCUAACUACGUGCCAGCAGCCGCGGUAAUACGUAGGUGGCAAGCGUUGUCCGGAUUUAUUGGGCGUAAAGCGAGUGCAGGCGGUUCAAUAAGUCUGAUGUGAAAGCCUUCGGCUCAACCGGAGAAUUGCAUCAGAAACUGUUGAACUUGAGUGCAGAAGAGGAGAGUGGAACUCCAUGUGUAGCGGUGGAAUGCGUAGAUAUAUGGAAGAACACCAGUGGCGAAGGCGGCUCUCUGGUCUGCAACUGACGCUGAGGCUCGAAAGCAUGGGUAGCGAACAGG